UACAGAGGGUGCAAGCGUUGCUCGGAAUUAUUGGGCGUAAAGCGCGUGUAGGCGGCUUUGCAAGUCGGGUGUGAAAGCCCUCAGCUCAACUGAGGAAGUGCGCCCGAAACUGCAGAGCUUGAGUACCGGAGAGGGUGGCGGAAUUCCCCAAGUAGAGGUGAAAUUCGUAGAUAUGGGGAGGAACACCGGUGGCGAAGGCGGCCACCUGGACGGUUACUGACGCUGAGACGCGAAAGCGUGGGGAGCAAACAGG
rnacentral:rRNA from 1 species